UUUUGUUUGAAAAAUGGUAUUAUUUCAAUACAAAAUAUUUCUUAGUGGUGAUAAAUUUAAUAUUUUGUAAUUAAUAUCCAUAAAUCUGCGCUGAUAAACUUAAUAUUUUGUAAUUAAUAUCCACAAAUCUGAAUAAAAGAUUAGAUAUUUAAUAGAUUUUAUUAAAUAUUCAUAAAGUAUGUGUGCGACAUGGACGUAAGUAUCUCAUAUGUAAAAUUAAAAAAAAUCGAUAUUAUUGGAUUUGCAGAUAAAAUGAGGAUUAUCUGUGUGAAAUUCAUGAUUAUCCUCUUAUAUCACUUCUUUUAUAUGAUUUAAUAUAUCGAUUGCUAUCUGAAAUUAACCGUAUCUUCUCCCAAGGUCUCAUGCACAAUUAAAAUCGUACGAUUCAAAGUUUUCGCUCUGCUUAAUUCCAAAUUUGACGAGAUUUAAGUCGAUUACGUUGGGAUAUUCUCUUUUUAGGUCACGCGAUCAUCUUCUUUCACUGCCCCUUCGAUUUAACUUUCUACGAGAUUGCUACUUUUCGCGGCGAGACGAUCAAAACCCGUGGGAAAAAUCGGAAUUACCCCUGUCUUUCCGCCCUUUUUAUAGCUCAUAAAACGUCUAUCUUCGUCCUAUUCUUCUCUUCUCUUCCUAUCUACUCCCUCUUCCCUUUUUUCUCAUUUCUGCUGCAUAUCGUGCGAUAUAGAUGUGUAAAAGAAGGGUUACAAUUUAUAGUAAGAACAUAUUGAUUGCUUUUCUGUAUUCUUUUCAAUUUAUAAUAAAAAUCAUCACAUAUCAAUACUUUAUUAAUUGCACAUAUUUCAAUAACUUGGAAAUACGCUGCUCGUGUUUUAUCCUUCUAUACAUACAUACGUACAUACAAUCUGUUCCAGAAUAACUAAAAGUAUUUGAUAAAUCUCUUUAUUUUUCUCUUUCAUAUAUAUAAAUGAGGUAAUAUCGAAAAAAAAUAUCUUUAUUAUUAUAAUUUGUCCUUAUAAAUAAAAAUUAGAAUAAAAAAAUAUAUAUAUACAUAUAUGAGAAGUAAUUGAUAUUCCGCAGAUGCAAAUAUCAUAUUAUUUUUUAAAGUUUCAAUUUACUUCAUUAAAGGGAAAGUAAUUAAUUUUACAGAAAUAAUGCAUGUAAAAUUUUCAAGAAAAUGUAGAUAAAAAUAUUUAAAUUACACGUUUUGCAUUUUAAAUAUAUUUUAAAUAUAUUAAUUAGUGUCGUAUUUGAAAAACCAAUAUCUAACAAAUACAUGAAAUUUGUAUAAAUAGAAUAAAAAAUUAUAUUAUAAAUAUUCUAGAGUAAUAAAUCGUAGUAGUCGAAACACAUACAGAGAUUAUCUUUUUUCUAUAAUUAAAAUAUCGGAUGUAAAUUUUAAACUUGUAUUCAAACUUAUAUACUCCUUUUCUUCCACCUUUAUGUAAUUAUUCCAGAAUUUCUGCGAAUUUUUUAAACAAAUAAUAGAUGAGAAAUCCUUAAUUGACCAACGACCAUUAUAUCAGUCUCUUCAGAAAAUCAGGAUUGCUCGUCAAGGCGACUUGAACCAAAUUUGAUGAAAGAGCUGAGAUCGAUGAAACAGGAGGAUGUGCAAGUACUUGUUAAGAAGUUGGAAAUACGAUACUCUCGUGCGUACACGAGGUGUCGCGUUUACGCGACAUGUCUCACAUAUAGGUUUACAAGAUGUAUCCUGAGGCCGAGUGCGGAAUAGGUCGCUCUGCUCUCGAGUGGGGUCGCGUUCGCUACUCUCAAGCGAAUUUCUCCACCGGUCGAUGGCUUACGCUUGCGCGCUGUUGCCUCCUCAGGGGCAGCUUUACUCCCGAGUUGUGUACCAAAUUUACACCGUGAGAACAACCCUGACACUCACCCAUUAACCGCGAGUGAAGAGGAUUAACGUUCGAUAACCCGAAGAUAAUACCGAUCAUCCGCGGUACUAUCUCUCUUUUGUCUGCUCUGAACUUUCUGAAACAUCGAAGUCGAAGCUUAUAAACUUAAUUCCUGUUUUCUUCUUCGUUGAAGGAAUUAAGCUAAUUCUUUCUAAAAGAAUUAAGUUAAUAAACUUCGCGAACGGAUAUGGUUAAGAUUGUUGAAAUUAUUGCGGAUUUUUCUCUGUUUUAAUAAUGAAAAAGACAAUGUUUAUUUUAUUAUUCUUUAACUAUAAAUUUUGUAUUACAUGUUUCUAUUACUUUUUUGUUUUAAAUUAAAUAUUAUAACAAAUAAUUUAUCGCUAGUGCAAAUUGUAAUCGUAAUCAUUAUUUUCUUUAUAUGUAUAACAGUUUAUUUGUUUUCUGAUAUUAUUACAAAAGUAUCAAAAGGAAUUUUACAAGCAGAUAUAAAUGAUAUUUAAUUCUCGUAUUCCUGAAAAUGCAUUUUACUAUUAAACUAAUUAAUUAUAUUGUUUACAUGUGUUUAAGACUUUUAUUCGAUUCAUUCUGAGAUAUGAUUUUAUGCGUGACUGUAAUAAAUAAAAUUACAUAAAAAUAUUUAAGAACAUUUAGAAAUUAUUUGUAAGACGUUCCACAUAAAAAAUAAAUAAAAAAAGUAAAAAUUAAAAAAAAAUUAAAUAAAAAAUAAUCAACGUUGCAGUUUCUAUCGCCAGAUCUAGGAGCAAGCUUCGACUAAACUCUCUUGGAUUGUGAUCGUCCUUAAAUACUCCUUAUCCCGGUGGUGGUAGGAAAAAGAAGAAAGGAAAGAAAGGGAAGGAGGUCGUCUAAUGUUUUAAUUAAUUAACUAAAAAACCGGAAGAAUAGUGUGUUAAAUUGGACUUAUCUGAUAACUUUUAUCACAGUUAACAUUAAUGAUGUUUCAAAAUUUCUAGACUUUGAUAAUAUUUCCUAGCAAAGUAAUCUCGCAAAGGAGCUAGCACUGUAGCUUUGUAGUCUACGGAGUGUCCAGUUUUCAUCUAGUGUUCUGCUAUGGCUUGAGAAAAGUAAUCGAAUUUGGUAUACCGCCGGUGUUCUUUGAUUCAUGUACUAAUCUUUUUCCCGGUUUCUCCUAUGUAUGUACAUUUUUUCGUAAUAGCAAGGGAUCUUGCAUACACCUGGUGAUUUUAAGCGUGAUCUCUGAUCCUUCGGAUUAGGAAGUAAUUGGAAAAUCUUUCUUUAUGACUUGAAGAUAACUUUGAUGUUGUGUCUACGCAAAAUUUUACUAAUGCGUUUUACCAUACGUUGAAGAUGUGAAAGGACAGCCAAUCCAUCCACUUCUCUUCUUUUUCCUUUUCUUCCUUUUCAUCCGACGUCUCAGUUUUGUUGAGACUGGAAAUUUUGUUUUUCAAUCUUUAAAUUGUUAGAUUGACAUUUUUGUUGCUUUAUCCAUUUUUGGUCAAGACUUAAUUGAGAUGUUCUAAUUCUCUAUUUAUAAUUAAAAAUUAAUUUAGAGAUUGUGAGAGCUCUAUAUAUCAGUGAACUGAUUAUUGAAUUCUUUUGCGAGCAGAUGUGAAAGUAUUGAUCUGUGUGUGUGUGUGUGUUUUUUUAUAGACCUGAUGACUUAAGUUACCUUUUUAUUUAUCGCUCAUCGCUCGUUUUUGAGCGAUGAAAAGGAUAUGUGACUGGACUAUCGCUAGCAAUUAGCUAUUGAGCAUGAUAAGUAUUUGAAAGUGAUUUCAGGAAAGAUAGCAAUAAACAAAGAAUUCCGUUUAAAAUAAAGUAAAAUAAGCAAAUGUUACAAGCAAUGUUACAAGCAAAAAAUUAUUAUAAUUAAACAAUUGAGUGUGCAAAAAUAAUAAAUAUAAAUAACGUAAAGAAAAAGAGAAGGGCAUUAGCUUUAGUGACAGUUUUUAAAUUUAUUUUACUUUAUCUUAUUUUUACUGCACAUAUAUGUUUAUUAUAUGAAUUUCGAGAAGAGUCGAGAUCAAGUCUAAGAUCGGUUUAAAAAAUUUCUUUUUAGGAGAGACUGAAACUGUCCCCGGAGUUUACUGCAAAAAAUCUUGUCGCUUUAUUUAAAUUGCACUCAGAACUGUGCCUUUAAAUUAUUUAGCUUUGUCCCCUGUGAGAUUUAUUUGCAGGAGUUCACAUGAAAGAUGAGACUGAUAAAAAAUACGUUUCCUAGUACAAGAAAGAAGAACAAUAAGACCAAUUCUUUGGAGUGGCCUUAAAGGAGUUUCAGAUAAGGGUUUCGUUUUGCCGGAAACUUCGUAGAAACUCAUCGCUGCCACUAGAUCAACUACAUUGACCGGCGACAUGACGAAGCACCUCAGGCUGGGACUUACCUACAAUUAAGUUAGGUAGUAUCGUAGUGUUCACUAUGUUACCUAUCACGGCCGAAGAUAACUUGGUUUAUCGAUUAUAAAUUAAGGAGUCGGCGUUAUAACAGAAUUCUGAGGGAAAAGUAAAGGUAAUUGCAUUAUUCGAUUAUCUUUCACAAAACAGAACUCAAAUAUUCAGCAAAAUGCAAUUAACGUUUUGUGACGAUUAAAUUAAAGCGGAAUCCAAGCAAACAUAAAAUAAACACCGACGCAACAAAGUUUCUGUAGUGAGUCAAACAUGUUUAAGAAAAAAAGCUCAAUGAGAAUGAGUAACGAUUCCAGUAAUAUUCGAGCACUCUUUCCACAAUUCUUCGUAAUCGUGUUUAUUUUCCGAUGAUUUUACUGACGAGUGACUCUUCACACAGUAACAGAGUACUGACAGAUAAAUGAAGAGCACCGAUAUACAGGCUAUACAUUUGGCCGUCGCUGAAGAGAGUACUCAUCGAAAGAACCCAGAUACGAGAUUGUAAUCUUUGUGUCGUGAGGGUCCCUUUACGAUACUCAUCCCCGAAACUAAAAUCCAGACGAUCUUUUCGUUGCUGAAGACUUUUCACCUCGACGUUGAGCUUACCAAGGAUUGUCAAGAUGAUAUGUGUGUUUCGAGGAAUGCUACACAAUCUCCAAUAAUAUAUCUCCUUAUUACGAAGAUUAUUAAAGUUUUUAAAUCUUUUAUUUAAAGAAAAUUAUCUUAGUAAAGAGAGUAUUAAAACACUUUGUAAAAUGUAAGCGAUAUAAUUGCUUAUAAUUUAUCCUAAAUUGUUUCUAUAUCGAGAAGAUUGUACACAAGGAAUUUCAAUAAAAAGAUAUAUACAAGAA
rnacentral:lncRNA from 1 species